CUCUCACAAUUAGCAAAAAGAGGAAAUUGAUUUGACAAUUUCCCUUUCUUUUAAAAAUCAUCCUAAUUAAAAAAUCAGAUUUCCAUUUGAAAUCGAUUAAUCGCGCGGCUAUAAUGAA